UGAGGCGCGAAANCCAGGGGAGCGAACGGGAUUAGAUACCCCGGUAGUCCUGGCNGUAAACGAUGGGUACUAGGUGUAGGAGGUAUCGACCCNUUCUGUGCCGGAGUUAACGCAAUAAGUACCCCGCCUGGGGAGUACGACCGCAAGGUUGAAACUCAAAGGAAUUGACGGGGGCCCGCACAAGCGGUGGAGUAUGUGGUUUAAUUCGACGCAACGCGAAGAACCUUACCAGGUCUUGACAUUGAUGGACAGAACCAGAGAUGGUUCNUCUUCUUCGGAAGCCAGAAAACAGGUGGUGCACGGUUGUCGUCAGCUCGUGUCGUGAGAUGUUGGGUUAAGUNNNNNNNCGAGCGCAACCCCUAUCUUAUGUUGCCAGCACUUUGGGUGGGGACUCAUGAGAGACUGCCGCAGACAAUGCGGAGGAAGGCGGGGAUGACGUCAAAUCAUCAUGCCCCUUAUGACCUGGGCUACACACGUACUACAAUGGGAGUUAAUAGACGGAAGCGAGAUCGCGAGAUGGAGCAAACCCGAGAAACACUCUCUCAGUUCGGAUCGUAGGCUGCAACUCGCCUACGUGAAGUCGGAAUCGCUAGUAAUCGCAGGUCAGCAUACUGCGGUGAAUACGUUCCCGGGCCU
rnacentral:rRNA from 1 species